AUAAGCCAUGUCGGGUCUUCCCCAUGGUCCGUAAACAGUAAAAAACCUCAACCCGGUUAUUGAUAACCCGUAAAUGUGAUUAUAAGUAUGUGUAAUUUCUUCACCAGCUUUCUUCGUUGCUGCAUAUAACGAAGCGGGUUGAUCCGUUCGAUCCGAUUCGGAAAACGGUACCUUUUCGUUUAACCCGUAAACUGAGCUCGAGCUUGCCCAAACAAUGGCGGGUUGAGGAUUUGCAUUUUUACAAGCUUCGAGAAGAGUAACAAGCCCAGCGAUAUUACUAUGAACAUAAGAUUUGGGAUUUUCCAUGGCGUAACGAACACCGGCCUGUGCAGCUAAAUGCAUUACAUGCGUAAACGCUACGAUAUCGAAUAGCUUUGAUAUCAGAUGCACAUCGUUAAUAUCUCCUUCAAUGAGGUAAACAUUUUGCAAAUUCAACAGAUCUUUUCGAGCUUUUUUCAACGAAGGGUCAUAGUAAUUGUUGAAAUUAUCAAUUCCGACGACACCGUCUCCACGUUUUUUCAACGCGAUUGAAACGUGAGAUCCGACGAAACCGGCGGCACCGGUGACGAGUACGGACAUGCCGUUAACACGGUGGAUUUGGGCGGAAUCACGAACUUGUUUCUCCCAAUGAAGACUACCCCAUGUGGAGGAGAGAUACCGGGUACCGGAAUUUAUGAAGGAUUGAAAACUCAAAUACGACGCCGUUAAAGCUAAUAAAAACAAUGCCCAUAAAAACAUUGUACUCGUUGAAGCGAAACACCGGUGGAAUUGCCGGUUGCCGGAGUAAUACGUUUUGUCUUUGAAUUUUCCUGGUGUUGAUGGAAUAAAUUCUUCUUCUAAUCCUCUCAUUUUAAUUUUUUUUUCUCAAAUCGAAGAAAAUAAUUUUUUCCUCUUUCGAAAUAAGAUAGAACAAAUUGUUAAAAUAUUUAGAUGUUGUUGAUA
rnacentral:misc_RNA from 1 species